AUUGAACGCUGGCGGCAUGCCUUACACAUGCAAGUCGAACGGCAGCACGGGUGCUUGCACCUGGUGGCGAGUGGCGAACGGGUGAGUAAUAUAUCGGAACGUACCUUAUUGUGGGGGAUAACGCAGCGAAAGCUGUGCUAAUACCGCAUAAUCCCUAAGGGGGAAAGCGGGGGACCGUAAGGCCUCGCGCAAUUAGAGCGGCCGAUACCUGAUUAGCUAGUUGGUGAGGUAAAGGCUCACCAAGGCAACGAUCAGUAGCUGGUCUGAGAGGACGAUCAGCCCCACUGGACUGGGACACGGCCCAGACUCCUACGUGAGGCAGCGGUGGGGAAUUUUGGACAAUGGGGGCAACCCUGAUCCAGCAAUGCCGCGUGAGUGAAGAAGGCCUUCGGGUUGUAAAGCUCUUUUGUCAGGGAAGAAACAGCAGCUCUAACACAGUAUGCGAAUGACGGUACCUGAAGAAUAAGCACCGGCUAACUACGUGCCAGCCGCCGCCGUAA
rnacentral:rRNA from 1 species